rnacentral:SRP_RNA from 1 species
GCCAGGCGUGGUGGCCCAUGCCUGUAAUCCCAGCACUUUGGGAGGCUGAGGUGGGUGGAUCACUUGAGGUCAGGAGUUCGAGACCAGCCUGACCAACAUGGUGAAACCCCAUCUCUA